rnacentral:rRNA from 1 species
AUUGAACGCUGGCGGCAUGCCUUACACAUGCAAGUCGAACGGCAGCAUGAUCUAGCUUGCUAGAUUGAUGGCGAGUGGCGAACGGGUGAGUAAUACAUCGGAACGUGCCCUGUAGUGGGGGAUAACUAGUCGAAAGAUUAGCUAAUACCGCAUACGUCCUGAUGGUGUAAGUGGGGAACCGCAAGGCCUCAUGCUAUAGGAGCGGCCGAUGUCUGAUUAGCUAGUUGGUGAGGUACAGGCUCACCAAGGCGACGAUCAGUAGCUGCUCUGAGAGCACGAUCAGCCACACUGGAACUGAGCCACGGCACACACUAGUACGGGAGGCAGCAGUGGGGAAUUUUGGACAAUGGGCGAAAGCCUGAUCCAGCAAUGCCGCGUGUGUGAAGAAGGCCUUCGUGUUGUAAAGCACUUUUGUCCGGAAAGAAAUGGCUCUGGUUAAUACGUGGGGUAGAUGACGGUACCGGAAGAAUAAGGACCGGCUAACUACGUG